rnacentral:rRNA from 1 species
UACGAAGGGGGCUAGCGUUGUUCGGAUUUACUGGGCGUAAAGCGCACAUAGGCGGAUCGUUAAGUCGGGGGUGAAAUCCUGGAGCUCAACUCCAGAACUGCCUUCGAUACUGGCGAUCUUGAGUCCGGAAGAGGUGAGUGGAACUCCUAGUGUAGAGGUGGAAUUCGUAGAUAUUAGGAAGAACACCAGUGGCGAAGGCGGCUCACUGGUCCGGUACUGACGCUGAGGUGCGAAAGCGUGGGGAGCAAACAGG